CGCGCCCACGUGCCCUCCCGCCACCCCCGGCCCACUCGUUUUCCGCCUACAUCUUGUGCAAAUUUAAUAUCAUAAGGCAUCCUGUUUCCGCUUGAACCGGAGCGCGGGCGCGGGCGCGGGCAUGACCUCGCGCGGCAAGGUCGCAGGUCGCGGCCAGUUCGGGGCUUUCGACGUCGCCUGGAGGUCUUGUAUACUCACACUAUGUCUACAUAACAUCACUCUACCAGACACAUAACACGUGUACAAACCUUAAUAAAUUAAACCAUUUAUUCUUUCCUAAAGUAACCCUGUAGAAUUAUUGAUUAACAUAAUUUGUCUGAACGUCACUACAAUUAGACAGAGUUUGAUUUGUUGGUAUUAAAUUUUAGAUGUAGUGGUAACUUAAUCUACUUUGUGACUUAAUUAAGCGUUCUUUAGUCGUUAAAGCGCCAAUAGUCUUAACCUAAAAACUAAGAUAGGGUCAUACGACAAAGUAGUUGUGGGUCCGAAAUCCGCUAAUCAAUUGUCGGAAACCUUAGUAGCUUAGACAUAAGUUGAAAUAGUUCAGAGAAUCAUUAGUAAAUUUCAAAUAAAUGUACUAUUUUAUAUUAAAAAAAAUAAAAAAAAUUACGUUGUAGUAUAUUCCAGGUGUGUAAAAAAUUAAGUAAACGUUACAAAACAACUAGCAACAUGGCUAGCUGUUAAAUGCUAUCAGCAGAUACUAAAAUUUAUCUCAGUGCUAUAAAAAUAAUGUGCUCUUGAGGUGAUAUUCAAACGUUCAGAGAAAACAUACCUACAAUGCACAUUAAGUUGCAAAUAAGGUAAAUAAAAUAUACAUACUUUGUCUAUUCAAAAUAAACAUAUUAUGUUAUCAUGUCUUUGUGCGAUGUCCUCUAAUAUGUAGGUAUACAAAGGAGAUUUUUUUACAUUGAAUUAGGUCUUUUGAAGACAGAAACGUAUUUACCUGUUUUCUUGAAAAUACUACAAUGGGAAUUUGGGAAAUUUUUGGCAAUGGAAAGCUAACGUUUCGUCAAAAAGCUGAUAAAGCAUACAACAUCUAGCUUUAUCUAAAGAGGAACUUAAUAAAUAUCACGUGCAAUAAAGUCACGGGGGUUUGACCCCUGACAUUUUGUGUAGGAGGGAGCAGAUGGCAUGUGCAAGGAUCUGGAUGGAGGGUGCUGUACGUUGGUGUGGGGUGUCCGGGAUGAGGGCGGGGAUCGCGGGGUGCAGGCGGGCGCAGGGCGAUGCACCGACAACGGCACGAGUCAAGUGCAGGG